CCAGCUUUCUUGAGUUGCGCAGGUUUCCCAAAAUGCUUUGAUUUUAUCGAGCAGUUUUGCCUGUAUUCUCUUAUAUUUUCAAGCAGCUUUGGCUUUUCUCUAACACUGUGUUAUCUACAUUGGUUUGAUGUGCUAUUUUGAAACAAUUGCUGUAAGGAGCUUUUUCUCCAUUCGAGGAUAUACAUAUAUGCUGCAUCUUUUUGAUGCAGGUUACUUUUUGGCCCUCCAUUAUGGGUCGUAAUUUUGCUAUUUUUACUUCACCUGCUUGUUUUAAGGGGGCCGCUAGUUUCUUGUGGUUGGUUUGGAUGUCUGGAUCGUUCUCUUGGCUCGGAUGGUUCUUUGGAAUAGGUUUUGGUUUUGAGGAUUAUGCAGGUCUUGGAAUAUUGGAGUUUAUGCUAGUUUUUUGGAAUAUUGGAGCAGCUUUUUUAAAUGUUAGUUUGACAGUAACAGCUAUAGCCCUACUACCCUUUUUAAAUUGUUCUUUACAGAAAUAAAAAGUGUUUUGUUUUUAUUAUUGUUGAUUGUAUUAUUAGUGGAUAAGAACCUUUUUGCCCCACUUUGGUUUUAUUGUACAAUGUUUUAACACGAUAUUACAUGUUGAGUUACUCUGUUUAACCAUAAAUUCCUCCUCUAGUUCCAACAUGGCUAAGACGAAUGAAGGUGGACCGUCAGCUAUUUGGGAUAAAGAAGUUACAAAUAUUUUCUGCAAUCUCUAUAUUAUAAAAAAUGAAAUCGGAAAUAGACCAAUCACGUAGUUCAACAAGGAAGAUCGGCAAAAUAUUACAAAAAAAAUUCAAAGAAUUGACGGGAAGGGAUUACAGCAGCUCAAAUUUAAAAAUAAAUGUGAUCAAUUGAAAGAGUGGAAAAUUUGGAAGGAGCUGAAAAGUGGAUCCAUCGGGCUGAGUUGGGAUCCUGUUAACUGAACUAUCGAUGCUCUGAAUGAAUGAUGGAUUGAGAAAUUGAAGGCCAUGCCAACCGCCAAGAAAUAUAGGCAGUGCGGAAUUGAGCCGGAGUUCGAAGAAAAACUCGACAUUAUGUUUAAGGUGGUUGUCACGACUGGAAAACAUGCAUUCAACUCAAGUGAGAUGGCCGAUUUAGUGUUCUUAUCUUGUGUUGAAUGUGUAUUCCUAAAGAAUGCAACCGAUAUCCUUCAUUGUUUUUGGUGCAUCCGCUUAUGAGGAUUUAUCUGAUGGUCUUUUUUUGGUGAUAUACACAUCUGGCACAGGAUGAUCGUCCUUGUGGGUUAAAGGCAACCAAGAACUCAUUUUUUUGAAGGCCCACUGUCGCCAUUCUGUGACAGACACUAGCAACAUGAACUCUAGGAUUUCAGGGACCUCCCGAGUUGUGUUGUGUUACUGCGAACUACCAGCUCCCUUACUCACGUCACGCCAGCUUCAUAGCAGUGGGAGACAGUUCUACAGUUGUCAGAUGGGUGUUUUAACAUGAUGUGAUUUCUUUCGUUGGGCCGACAUUCCGACAUACUCCUAUGUCGACUGUGAUCGUGGUACGAUGGUUUCCCAAGAGGACAGUGCCACUGAGGACAGACGACGUCAGAGUUUUAAAUUGAACAUUUUAAUUUGUUUACUCUUAAUUGUAAUUAUAUUUCUUUUUUUUUACUCACGAAAUUGUGAGCAUUGUAUUUUAAUUUUUGUAACUAAACUGUAAUAGUUCGAGACAUCUGUUUUAUUUAUUAUUGUCCAUAUACAGUUCUGUUGCAAACA